ensembl:lncRNA
AACCAGAGCGACCACGUGCAGUGUCCUUCAAGAGACUUCUACAUGUUGUAAUAGAUUUUAUAUAAAUAUAUUUAUAUUGUAAUAUAUUUAUCCUUUAGUAUAAAAUAUUUAUUAUAUGAUAUUUAUAUUGGAUAUUUAUUUAUCAAUAUAUCAUACUCUGAAUAUUGUUUUAGUUAUAUAUAUAGUCAUUGACAUACUGAAUUGUUUGAAUAAGUAAUAAUGAGUGUUUUCUUUUUUUUUGUAUUGAAUCAUACUGAGAUAAUUACUGAAACCAAAAAAAGAAUCCAGCAGCCGCCACUGGUCCAAAGUAGUAUCGUCCAAAGUAAUAUCGUCCAAAGUAAUAUCGUCCAAAGUAAUAUCGUCCAAAGUAAUACCUCUAGCUCUGAUAGCUAACAGCUAACAGCUGUAACCCAGUGUCUGUCUGGUUGGAGCUGUGCAUGACUCGCUGCAUGUGCGUCGACUCCUCCUUUCUCUCACUCCCUCAGAUGCACUCCUUUGCACCCUAUCAGGUGCUCUCUCUUAUUUCCCCCCCCAUAGACAGAGGUGUCAUGCCUUCUCCUGCACGCGAGCCAAACAGCCCAGAUGUCUGCGUUGGCUGCUGCUCCAAAAUCUGGGUCACGGAUGGGAGGAAGGAGGGAACGGCAGCAGAAGGGAAGGAUGCCAAAAGUCCCAGUAUUUCUGUAUAACAACCAAACAUUUGUUGGUAGGGUUUUGGUUCAAGCACCGAUUUUGCAUUGCCUCCUGGAACUGAAGGAAAAAUACUUAAACAGUAACAAAAAGAAAAAGGGAUGUUUUCAAAAUGGCUUGAUACACGAUUAGUGGCAUGAGCACUGCUCGGUUCCUCCCUCUAAUUGGACCACCAGAGGCCCACCGGAUGGCUGACGGGGAACGCAGCUCACUUCUCCUCGCAGGUGGGCAGGCUGCAUUAUCCCACCGCCUGCCGAGUAGCGCGAGCAGAGGAAGUGGGCCCAACUUUGUGCCUGUCGGAAUGUGAACGUGGAUCCAUCAUUCACCCGGUAAAGGAAUAAUUAAUGCUGGUCCAAUAACACGCGGCCUCACCUCUCACUGCAUGCGGGAUGUUCUGUGUGAUUACGGACUGGAACAAAGCACAGCGUCACAAUCUGGACUGAACAGCUUUAACAAUCCGCAAUUAGAUUUAGACAUUUUUAGAAUAAGCUAAAGUCGGUAGUCGCUUUGGAGCCGGCAGCUCGGUCUUCCCCCGAGAAAUCCUGGGUUACUGAUCCUCCCUCCAGCGAGCCCGGCACUACAACACAGGCCCCCCCCCCCCAGUCAGCGCCGCGUGGGCUCACCGCGGGGGGGGGCCGGCGGCGGCGUGAAGCCACAGUCUGCUGCAGGCGGAGGGGGAGGAGCCCACGACUGCAGGGGGCCGAGGAUGGAGCCGGAGGGGGAGAAUCCGACCCUCUGGUACCUCAGUCGAGCUUCUAGAAUAUCUACUUAGAAGCAGCUCUUCUCAUCGGCGUCAAACCGGGAACUUUUCAACGUCCGGUUAAAGCAACGUUAGCGAACAGACUACUUGUGCGACGUUUUGGGAUUAAUCACCGGUUCCAAGUGCCUCCCAAACUGACACGACGUUCUGUGUUUCACCACUUUAGGAGCUUUUUAAAAAGUGUAAUCCUACAUUAAUUAUACGGCACCGUCCUGCACCGUCCUUUUGUGAAUGGACCACAAAACGCUCUUCAUGGAGACUUCAGAGGCGUCUGCAUGUGUAGACGAACUAACGGAAAGAGGAGGUACCUUAAGACCAAUCUCGCCCUAUUCAAUUUUAGAUCAGUCAUCAUCAAUCACCGCAUCGAUUAUCUUUACGAAGCUUCAUUUCGCGCGUCACUGUUUAGACUUCUGCAGCCGCAGAGCUGCACACAAACUUAAAACCCUCCUCCAGGGACGCAAACCUACACCACACACACACAGAGCCCAUCACAGUGAUAGAUGGCGGUGGCACUUAGGGUGUCUGAAUGCAUCCUCAGGCAUUAUUCUGAGGAGCACUAACUCUGCAGCCGUCAUCAUCACGGCCGUUUGUAAAUAGUCUACUUAAAUGACUCCGUUAAAAACACACAAACGCGCGCACGGCCUCCGUCAUUUUGAGGCAAAGGGAAGGAGAUCGGGUAAAAGGAAAAGUCGCCGGACAAUCGCACAUAUGCCGCGUUUUAAAGCUCUGCACGAUGUAAGAAACGACGGCUCAAGUCUCCGUCGUCCCGCAGCCAAUCAUCCCGUCCGUCCGUUCUUCCUCCUCGCAAUCAUUCUCACAUCCUGUACGCAUCCCUUCCCCAACCCUGUUAACCCCCCCGUCCCCCUCUCAAUUAUCCUCCCUCUCAUUCUUUUCCCUCCGUUCUCUUCGUUUAUCUCCCCUCUGUCAUCUCGCCGCCGUCUCACAUCAGAUUUGCCUUGUUAUCCGAUCGCAGAAUCAUCGUCUCUGACAUCCAUCGACUGUGGAGAAACACGCUUUCUCUCACCGCGAGAGACAGAGAGGAGAGAGAUGGAGGGGGAAUGAGGAGUAACAAGUGGGAGUUUGUGGGAGGAGGGGGGAGGGGAAGGAUGAAGGCUGGUGAGGAACCAAGCUUAUAGGACCCUUAAGUUGAAUAUGACGGGUGUAAAAUAGGCCGCAGUAUAACAGGCAUACAGGGGGGGGGAGGCUGCGUUCUAAAUAAAGACGAAGAAGAGGAGGGUGGAGGGAGCGGGACGGUAAAUAAUGAUCCAGUCUCAGAGACGCCGGCAGAGGAGAAUCAGCGUAAUUAAUGGAGGAAGGAGAGAGAGACAGAAAGGAGGAAAAACAAAGAGUAUAAAUCACUCUAAACAGAGAACGAGGAGGGAGGAGAGAUCGGAAGAGACUCCCCGCCACGAUGUGUUCAUCUGGAUGAGAAGAAUACGGACGAGGUCUCCGCUGCCAGAGACACGUCGCCUGUAUUCACGGCCUGCGCGGGCUGCAUGACCUUUACAGGCCGGCUCCCUCUGAUCAAGCACUAAUUAAUGAGCUGGCCUUAAAGGGCCGGUUCAACUAAAAGGGUUUGGUCAUUUAUCUCCGACUCUUCUCCCAAACAGUAAGUCAAUUUAAAGCUGUCGACAGUGACGUUUUUGAAGACAAUCGGCAGUAUUUUGCUGGUUAUUUUAAAUACUACGUUAACGUUAACAACUUAAAAACCCAAACACCUGCUCUGUUCUGCUCUAUUUUUCCUCCUUUCUUUCCCUCCCGAAGUCUCCUCUCUGAUUGAUUCAUGUCAACGGCGUCUCUGAGCCUUCAGGUGAACGCGUAGUUUCAUUUUGAUUCCCGGGCUGUUAAACAUGAGUGAGCGAGUGAUAUGAAGACACUGUGGACCGGUGUCCUUUGGGGGGGGUAAUUUUAACAACAAUAAACACGUGUGGGUAUUUCAAGCAUCAUGAGUGUGCGAUCGGACCCGAGUAGUGUGUGUGCGUGUGUGUGUGUGUGUGUGUCUCUCUUUGGGCAGCCAUGAAGACGGCGCGCCGUGGACGGCUCUUCUUGGCCCGACUGACAGAAACACUGAUGGCGAGUGAUUGGAUAGACCGGGCCUGCAGGAAACACACACACACGCGCACACACACACACACACACACACACACACACACACACACACCAUCCUUUCCUGCCAAUGCAGCAGCGUUGCUCAGAUGACCCUGAUUCCGUGCUCUCGCUCUCAAUUGGACGCCUCACUCGUCGCUCCGCCCACUCUCCCGUUUCGAUUGGCUCACUGCAAACGCCGUCGCUUUCACAGUGGAGGGUCAGUGUUUGAGAUUGAUGGACGUUACAGGUCCGUGUGGGUCUGACGGCCAUGAUGCAUGGGGGCCUAUGCACACAAUACCCACACACACAUACACACACACACACACACACACAUCCAAAGGGACUAGUUUGCUCUCCUGAGCAAUUUACUUACCGCAGCUUUUCUACCUUCUUCCAUAUAAGGGACGUAUUGACGGAUAGAGAUUGCAAACGUAAAUGUGUGUGUGUGUGUGUGUGUGUGUGUGUGUGCGUGCAUUAAAAGUUGUGUCCCUGCAUGGAUUUAGGUGCUUUUGUCGAGAACAAGUGGAAAAGUUUCGAUCUUUAUCGCUCGCACACAAAACAUAUUCAACCCUGCAACCACACACACACACACACACACACACACACACACACACACGUACACAACGCAAUGUCGGGAACACGCAAGCGAGACAUGUACAGCGACACACUGAUUCAAGGACUUGAGGGCGUGUGCCAGCUCAAGCACACGUCACGAAAAGCAAGUCAUUAGUGAGUCAUUAAAGCUCGUGCACGUACAGUAAACAAGCAUCAUCACCCCACAACAUCGCCAGCGAUGUAAACAAACAUGGACACGCACGCGUCAUUCGUCGACUCCGAUGACGGACAGCUGGAGGCAACGGCAGCUCUCUCUCUCACACACACACACACACACAUCUUAAUCUUUAAAGUCAAAUUGUCAUUUAUUGACCAGGGAGUGAGACUCCAGGGCAGGUGUGUGUGUGUGUGUGUGUGUUGUCAAUACGCUCUCACCUGUUUACUCACAGCAUCUCCUGAGUUGUGUCCUUGAUUUUGAAACAUGUUCUUCUGUGUGUGUGUGUGUGUGUGUGUGUGUGUGUGUGUGUGUUCGUGCUCCUCUUAGGUCUUAAGUUGCAGGGCGUGUUGCGGUAAUCGCGUUCCCCCUCGGCCCCCUCUGCCUCUUAUCUCCUCGCUCCUCCCCUCCCCUGCUUUGACCUUCAUCCCCUCAUCAUCUCUUGUCUUCCUCAAGCCCUGCACCCGUUUACCCAGACUCCCCUCUGGCGUAGCAGCUUGUUGUUGUAACUUUCAUCACGUACUUAAAGACUUGGACAAAAGUGGGGUUUAGUUGCACAAACAUAACCGCCACCAAGAAUGAAUCAACGAAACGUCCCUCCUCUCCUCCGAGUUAGUGUGAUUUAUUAAAUCUAAUUUCAAAGGUCCGUGUAAUGGAGAUGGGCCUUUUAGGUGGAAGUGAAUCCUUUAUUAUUAUAACCCUGUUUGUGUGGAGGGGCAUCAGAGAGUGGGCCCUUUAAUAUGUGUGUAUGCUGUUGUUGUUGUUGUUGUGAGCCUCUUAAGGCUAUGAGAGAACGGUUUAAACAGCGCGACUGGCUGAUUCUUCAUGGUGGUUUCUCAUCAUCUCACUCCGGCGUCGCUCUCAUCCAACAGGGGAGGCGUUUGUUAAGAGGACGGCAGAAGCUUCGCUUACAUGCAUUUCACUUUCUUUUACUCCUCUCGGCAUGAUUGUGUUGAUACACAAUGUUCUUUUCUUUUUCAAUGGGAACAGAAACUGAUGAAUACGUUAAAGAAGAGAAGGGUUCUGUAUUGUUCGCGGUGGGAAUGAGCAUUGGGCUCUAAAUGGAUUGUGCAUGUUUUUAAGAUUUCUAAAUCACAAACACCUUGAAUCGUGGCUCUUUGCUGAAGGCAACAUUGAAAGCAAAAUCCCAGAGUACAAUUACAGAAAUGAAGUAACAACUCGUAAUGAUGGUUAUGAAAUGUUGUUUUGUAAGAUUGUAGUAUAUUUUUGAAUAUUAUCCAAAAAAGAAAUGAAGGAAAAGUAUUGAACAGAACACUGUGAGAGAAACACAUUUCAGUUGCCCCGUAGCAUUAAUGCCCCAAUUUACUGGAUUUGUUCACAAAGGAAGGAGAGAAUGAGGUGGAACAAUGUAGGAGAAUUAUAGAACAAAGACAAAAUGGAAAAAUGGAAAAAAGCAAAGGUUACAAUUUAGAAAUGACAGUAAAGAUCAAAGAGAUCAUUUGAGUGCGGGAGGAAGAGAGCGCUGCUGCGUUGGCACGGUAACAAAAUGAAGAGGCAUUUAUUUAUUGCAGAAAGUGAGAAAAUGAACCGAGAGAUUGAUUUCAAAGGACAGGAAACAUACCGAGCAAGGUUCUGUUUCUGAAUUGUUGGGGUGUCCUCUGUAUGUUUUAUUGAUUAUCUGCUCAAUGUGGCGAUCGAUACGGUCUGGGAUCGUAGAUAAACACACAAAAAGACACACACACGCUUGUGAACAUAUUGAUGCAUGGAGAAUUAGACAGCAUUUGUGGAGCGAUGUGUUACGCACGUUAUGAUCCAAGUGCCGACAGUCCCGCCGAGAAUCAACGCUCGUCGCUCUGCGGGCGCUCGGAAGGCCGCUCUGCGGCGCCUGGACGGCGAGGAGAGUCGGACCCGCUGCAAACCCCGAGGACAUGUUUCAUUUCCCCAGAAAGCCUUUAAUGAACACCAGUUCAAUAAAGGCACCCACGGUUUCCUUGUUCCGGCCGGAACCGGAUUCUCACCUCGAGAGCAUCGAUCGUGAACAUCACAAUGGAGCCGCUGUGCUGCACUCUGUCGUGAUUUGACGAUUUCACCAGAGGUGUCGGGUGUCGCACGACCGGGCUGAAAGGCGAGAGAGAGGCGGGUAAUACGUGGAAAGCGGGUGUCGUAAAGGGUGAUAUUUCUGUCAUGUAUGAAUUAUCAGCAAGAUCAUUUGUGGACUGACGUUACCUGUGUGAGAGCAGCAGGGAACUUCAGCUAAAGUACGUUAGCCGCCUGGACGGACGUUAGCCUGCUGCUAGCUAAACUAGCUAACCGUCGCCGUGGCUUCGCCUGGACUGAGAACCAGAUAAAAAAUGCCCCCCGAGCAACGUUUGUUUUGCUCUGAUGUUGCGUUGGGUUACACAAAGUUAAGAAUACAUUUAUUAUCUAUUACUAAGUGAGAACAUCCACAGAGAAGGUGGAUGUGUCUGGCAGUCUGUUUAAAUAUAAAAAUAAAUAACAAUAUAAUAAUACUACAGAGCUAAUUAGGAAUAAAAACAUAAUUGAAUUAGAUGAAGAACUCGGUGCCCUUUCUACCAAUUCAGAGAGUAGACGGGCUACGCGGCAAAUGUUAACGUUAUAUAACAACAGUAUCCGAUCCGGAAGGCUGAACGCAGAAGACGGCGAAAAACGUUUCGGAUUCCCGUCAUCGCUGCAGGAGGCGCUCUCGUCUUUUAGAUGUGUGCACAAUGAAAGAUGAACACAAGCGUGGUGGUUUUCCUCUCCGUCCGCCGGAAGCACUUAGCAUGUGUAAGCAGUGCGGGGAAGUG